UACGGGGGGGGCAAGCGUUGUCCGGAUUUACUGGGCGUAAAGGGCGCGUAGGCGGCCACCGCAAGUCGACUGUGAAAUCUCCGGGCUUAACUCGGAAAGGUCAGCCGAUACUGCGGGGCUAGAGUGCAGAAGGGGCAACUGGAAUUCUCGGUGUAGCGGUGAAAUGCGUAGAUAUCGAGAGGAACACCUGCGGCGAAGGCGGGUUGCUGGGCUGACACUGACGCUGAUUGUGCGAAAGCUAGGGGAGCGAACGGG
rnacentral:rRNA from 1 species